rnacentral:misc_RNA from 1 species
UGGCGGCCUGCUCAACAACCGCCGCCACUGGACCCACCCGGUCAUCAACGAGACGCUGGUCGACCUCCUCCAGAUCCAGCAGGACAUCCACAGCGGCCUCUUCGCGGUGAUGGACGGGACGUUCGCCGGUGACGGCGCCGGCCCGCGCGCGAUGCGCUUCCACGAGAAGGACAUCCUGCUCGCCAGCGCCGACCAGGUCGCCAUCGACGCCACCAGCGCCAAGCUGCAAGGCUUCGACCCGAUGGAACUGCCCUUCAUCCGUCUCGCCCACGAGAAGGGGCUCGGCGUCGGCGACCCCAAGGAGAUCGAGAUCGUCGGCUA